UACAGAGGUCCCAAAGCGUUUGUUCGGAUUCACUGGGCGAAAGGGUGCGUAGGCGGUCUAUUAAGUCAGUGCUGAAAUAUCCCGGCUUAACCGGGGAGGGUGGCAUUGAUACUGAUGGACUUGAGUGCAGUCGAGGUAGGCGGAAUUGACGGUGUAGCGGUGAAAUGCUUAGAUAUCGUCAAGAACACCGAUAGUGAAGACAGCUUACUAGACUGUAACUGACGCUGAGGCACGAAAGUGUGGGGAUCAAACAGG
rnacentral:rRNA from 1 species